GCCUCCCUCCUGCUCUCUUUGGCUGUAGCCAUCUUGGUUGGGUUUAUUUGCAUACUCACUCUGAUUGGCUUGUGGGAGUGGCUUGU